GGACGGUAGGCGUCAGUGCCGUCGCUGACGUCGAGCCAAACAGUCGCUCUCCUGCAGGAUCUGCUCUCGAUAUUUGUUUUCUGCCUAGUUUUUCUGUUUGCGAGUUUUCAAAGUCGUUACCGUCGAUCAUUUCUGCAAACAAGUUUUUUCGUUGUUUGUUUUUUUCGGGACUGUCGUUUAUGAUCCCUGCUGACCGUUUUUAAUUGAUUUAUUCCGUCUUUGGUGACAACAAUCGUUUUCUUCAAUAAUAAAAAAUAAAAAUAAAAAAAACGACUUGAACUGUGCCAAAAGUAAUUUGCCGGGGACAGUUUCUCUUUGAAAAAGUCGGCCCAGUUGAUUUAUGUAUUUAACGAGGCUCAAGUCUCGGGUGCGGAUCAUCAUGUGAAAGGACUUUGGCUCAACGGAUCAUUGACACCAGAUUGCGGAUCAAGAAAGAAGGGGCAAAAGCAAUCUCAACCGACUUGUGCCCAACGGACCUUUAAAGAUAAUCAUCGCUGGAAGAAAUCAGACAAACAAGUUGGGGCAGUGUAGAUCUCCGCCCACAUUUUGAAUACAAUUGGAAGAAAGCGCAUCGGGCCAACGAUAUGAGGAGAAUGAGGAACAAGACACUCUUACACCAAGUGAUGAGCAAGAGCACUCUAGCGCCGCUGUGCGUCUUUUUCGUCGUUUUUCAGACGUCUCUCUGGCGAGAAGGAGCAGCAGCUGCGACGGUGGCGUCAACAGCGGCCAUCGAGCAGAAAACGGAAGCGAACAAAUCGUUUCCCUUUUUGGAUGCAGCCGGACUUUUGCUGGCUCAGGCCGACGAGCCCUACCAUCAGCAGCAGCAUCCGCAACAAGAGCAACUGAACGACGUAGCCACUCCGUCACAGAUGGACCUGUCAACGGGUUUGAUGGGAUUGGAUUCGGCCAACGCGGACGAGCAUCAGAGCGGCCCUGCAGGCAGUCCCGGGAGCGAGUCUGGUCCACUUUUCGAUCCGACAACUGAACGCAACGUGACUGUCCUCGUCGGUCGAACUGCCAAUUUGCACUGCCGUGUCCGUUACCUUGGCAACCGAACGGUGAGCUGGAUCCGGCAUCGUGACGUUCACAUCCUGACAGUGGGUCGAUAUACGUACGCGUCCGACCAGAGGUUCACUAUCGUCAAGUCCCGGCCGACAGAGGACUGGACAUUGCAGAUCAAAUUCACGCAGGCCAGAGAUGCCGGAUUGUAUGAGUGUCAAGUGUCGACUCCAACCGCAUCGCAGUCAAUUCAUUCGACUCAAUGUCGUCGCUCCCAAGGCGGUGAUUUUGGGCGGUCCCGAGUUCCACGUCGAUGUGGGCAGUCAUGUCAAUCUGACUUGUAUCGUCCAGUUCAGCCCUGAACCUCCAGAGUACGUCUUUUGGCAUCAUCACGAUCAAGAGCUGAGACACGACUCGUCACGAGGCGGCGUCGCCAUCGUGACGGAUAAGACAAAUCCGGUGACUUCGACUUCGCUGCUACUACGCCAAGUCCGUCUCUCCGACUCGGGCAAAUAUUCGUGCACGCCGUCCAACGCUGACCCGGCAUCUGUCACCCUUCACGUCCUCCAAGGUGAACGACCGGCUGCCAUGCAAAGCAACACUGGAGUUUCGUCGCAUUCGAUCCGCUCUAUUCUCCUGUUUCUUCCGCUAGGAUUUGUCUGGCUCGAUUGCCGCCUAGUCGCUUGGAUCACGUGAUCAUCCUCAAUCAUCAUGCGUGACCGGUUUGUGAAACUUUUGCGGUUGAAUUACAAGAGGGGAGUGCGUGAGUCGAGCACUUGAAACUUCAUUUCUUUUUCUUUUCUUUUUUUUUCUGAAUUACGUUCGAUUGAUAGCGUCGACAUCAGUUUCCAUUUUCCACGGUCUUGCCGAGUAUUUUUAACCAUCAUGUUGGCCUCGAUUUGAAAAAAAAGGAAAGAGUAACGAAUAGAGAACAGAACUGAUCGGAAACAGGAAGGGCUAUGAAGUAAAAAGUCCCGCAACGUGGGAAUUGUACGAUUUUAAAACAAAUCCCCAAGAAUUAAAAAAAUAAAAAUCGAGUUUUAUAAUUAUCUAUAACUACACGCAUAUACAACGUACUUCUAUCUAUCCCAUUAAUAACCAUUCAUUCAUGUCUGCCCCGCCCCGAUCCCCCUUAUGAUAUGCAUCCAUUACUAGUACACACGCGUCUAGUCCAUCGUUUUUCCCUGCGCAAAACAUGCGUCCCACCUCACCCCUUUCGUUCUAUUGUACUACUAUUUACUCAUCGAUCGUUGGCCGUCAUUAUUAUACUUAUCAUGAACAACCGGCGUCUGUAAACUUCUCAUCCAACAGGAAUUCUUGAUGCGUGUUUUGUUGCCAUUUUCUUUUUAUGAAUCAUUUUUUUUUUUUUAACUAUAAUUGUUCCCUACACACAUACACGUGGCCAUUUUAUUCGUUCACUCAUGGAAAAAUUCUUCAUACAAAACGUGUCUAUAUAAAAAGAAGAGAAAAAACAGAUCGUACCUUGUCAAGUGUUAGUGUGCAUGAUCUAGCAAUCUGUUAGCUUAAUGGGGAGGAGGGCGUGGUAACGUUGCGGAAGAGUGCGGGAGGGAAGCGUGAGGAUGUAGGGUUUUAUAGGCUGACUAAUGAGGCAGCAACGUUAUGCAUCAUCAUCCCUUUGAAAUACAAAUCAACGCGGCCGUUUUGGAAUUGAGUUGUAAUUCCUUUUGUUUCGCCAAAUUGAAAUGAUUUAAAGUUUCUUUUGAAAGUAAUGGAACGAAAAUGGGAUUUUUUUUUUUUCCUAUAUUAACCCUAUAUUUUUAUUUGGCUUCCCAUUUUUUAAAAUAUUCUUUUAUUGUACGGUUAAGUAUAAUAUCAAAGCUCCCAUCACUUGCAUUUCACCAAUCAUCUUGUGUACAUACAUUAUUAUUGUCUGCGACAGGUGUCCAAACAAAAAACAUCAGUCAUCAUUUGGAAUUGAAAAGAAAAAAAAAAAAUUGCAAUCCCGUCAGGAUCAUAUUUGAAUUCCACUAUUUUACCACCCCAGGUUGUUUUUCUCUUCCCUCCGAUCUAUCAACAGUUUCACAUUUUUGUUUGAAGCCUCCCCAAAAUACCAAAGCGAUGAUGACAUAUUUAUGAAUGAUGUUGUGUUCUUCAAUACAUACCAUUUCGAAUCGA